AACUGCAGAGGCAUACAAACUUUAAGCAUUUAGUUGAAUCUAGGCGCAUAUGUCGAAUUGUGCUCAUUUAGUUGAAUACAGACUCAUAAGGUGAUUUAACCCUUCAAAAUUGUACUUGAGUGUUGCAAAAUAAAGCAGUUUAACUGACUAUGGACAUAUCAUUCUCUCACUUCCUAUACUGAAAAUAGUGAGGCAGGCAACCUGACAAGAAGGACAUAGCUAGAUAAGCAAAAAGAAGCACACGAUCUAAUAAAUUAUAAAUAAAGCAUCACUAGAUUAUUCCAUUAGAAAGCUUAAAUUGCUCACUCAUGAUGAGCAGCACACCCCCAAUGUCGCAAAAUCUUGCUCAGACGACAGAAACAAGUAGGGAUGAAACAUCUUUCGGUCCAAAGUCAAAAGUUAGUCAAAAGAUAGGGUUCAAACACUAACAAGGAGUUAGUCAAAAGUUACAGGUUAGAAGAAAAGAAAGAAAGAAAGAAAGAAAGAAAGAAAGAAAUGAGAAAACAAAGAAUACAAAACUACAAGCUGUAUUUUCUGAUGAACAGGUGCUUCAUCAUUCCAGAAAAUACCAAGUUUGAACCAUUUCUAGCAGGCCGCAAUCAUUCUAGACAAUACCUUCAUCACUUGGAAGUUCAUCUGACAUUCCUUGGGUUAAUCUUGUAACUGGGAUAGAUACUACAGAAAUGGGAUAGACAACCUUGUUUGUCCUGCCUAAACUCAAAGCAUUUGCCAUGAUAUAACACUAGUACAUUGGCACAAUAUACAGGCGGUUGGUAACAUAUUUCUACAGGCGUUUUCCGCAUCCGCCUGCGCUGGAGGCCAGUACAAAUCGUCCAUUUCCAC
rnacentral:lncRNA from 1 species